rnacentral:rRNA from 1 species
UACAGGGGGCUCGAGCGUUAGUCGGAAUCACUGGGCUUAAAGGGCGCGUAGGCGGGCUGUCAAGUCUGGGGUGAAAUCCCGCGGCUCAACCGUGGAACUGCCUUAGAUACUGACGGCCUCGAGGAAGGUAGGGGCAUGCGGAACUGUAGGUGGAGCGGUGAAAUGCGUUGAUAUCUACAGGAACUCCGGUGGCGAAAGCGGCGUGCUGGACCUUUUCUGACGCUGAGGCGCGAAAGCUAGGGGAGCAAACGGG